rnacentral:rRNA from 1 species
ACGGGUGAGUAACGCGUGGGAACGUACCUUUUGGUUCGGAACAACACAGGGAAACUUGUGCUAAUACCGGAUAAGCCCUUACGGGGAAAGAUUUAUCGCCGAAAGAUCGGCCCGCGUCUGAUUAGCUAGUUGGUAGGGUAAUGGCCUACCAAGGCGACGAUCAGUAGCUGGUCUGAGAGGAUGAUCAGCCACAUUGGGACUGAGACACGGCCCAAACUCCUACGGGAGGCAGCAGUGGGGAAUAUUGGACAAUGGGCGCAAGCCUGAUCCAGCCAUGCCGCGUGAGUGAUGAAGGCCCUAGGGUUGUAAAGCUCUUUUGUACGGGAAGAUAAUGACGGUACCGUAAGAAUAAGCCCCGGCUAACUUCGUGCCAGCAGCCGCGGUAAUACGAAGGGGGCUAGCGUUGCUCGGAAUCACUGGGCGUAAAGGGUGCGUAGGCGGGUUUUUAAGUCAGAGGUGAAAUCCUGGAGCUCAACUCCAGAACUGCCUUUGAUACUGAAAGUCUUGAGUAUGGGAGAGGUGAGUGGAACUGCGAGUGUAGAGGUGAAAUUCGUAGG